UAUGCAGGGACGACAGCCGGUGGAUGUGCACGUUCUGUGUUUUUAAAGCCAUUGAGGGGUGCCGCUACCCUGACAAGCAGAAAACUGAAGCCGUCUUGUCCCGCCAAAUAUCUCAACACAUGCUGGAAUGCCCGUAUCUCCUCCUCUAUCUGUGCAGUGCUGAUGAGGAGCAGAUAUUUGCCACCAACCCCGGGCAGUAUUUGGAAAACUACUCCAGUAUUAUUAAGACUCCAAUGUGGCUGGACAACAUUGCUG